AAGCUCCCGGCCGGGCUGACUCAAGCGGAGGCGCGCGGAACAGUCGCCGAGGCGAUUCCCGCCCAGGCUCCUGUAACCGCCAGGCAGCGGCCCCACCAUGUCCCAGCCCCGGACCCCAGAGCAGGCACUGGAUACGCCGGGGGACUGCCCCCCAGGCAGGAGAGACGAGGACGCUGGGGAGGGGAUCCAGUGCUCCCAACGCAUGCUCAGCUUCAGUGAUGCCCUGCUGUCCAUCAUCGCCACCGUCAUGGUCUGUACGGGGCCCCUGCUUAGGCCUGCCCCACCCCGAGCCUCUCGAGGCACUGCCCAGCCCACCUCAGACCUGUCUAGGUCUUGCCAGCAUCCUUGGGUCCCCCAGCUCCUCAGGCAGCUUAGGGGGGCCCAGCACUGCCCUCGAGUCCCCAGUACUGCCACACCCAAUCCAACAAGCGUCUCUUGCUUUCUUGCUUCCUUCUGUCUCUUUGCCCCCUCAGAUCCUGCCUGUGACCCACACGGAGAUCUCCCCAGAACAGCAGUUCGACAGAAGUGUACAGAGGCUUCUGGCAACACGGAUUGCCGUCUACCUGAUGACCUUUCUCAUCGU
rnacentral:sRNA from 1 species